rnacentral:snoRNA from 1 species
GGGCAAUGAUGACAGAUUUACGUUUCUCGAUUUUGAUUUGAAUUUUUUUUAUUAAAUUGUUUUGAUUUAAGGACCAAACAGCUAUCUGAUGACAGCGUUUGUGCGUGUCUGAGCCAA